UAGGCGCGGGCUGUAUAGUUUUAUUGCCUCCAAGCAAGAUACCAGGGAAGACAGAUGCCAGGUGGAACUCCACAGCAGCCAAGAGCACAUUCUCCGGCCGCUGCGAUGAUCUGCCUCGGCCCAUAAUGGGCUGAGCGCCAUGUGACACUGUUCACACGGAAGUAUGAAGAAGAUGGACCGGAGGGACCGAUCAGCUGUAGUGGCGCUCCGCGGGAACCCAGGAAGUGUUGCGAUUUCACCGCGAUUGUCCCGAUCAGCCCGGCUGAGCUGCUGGAACAAGUAGACAUGGCCUAAAUAGCAUCCCAUGUGUGCAGCAGACUACAACUCCCAUCCUGCAUUGUGACCUCUUGUGGCUGUCCUCCUUCCUCUGUAUUAUCCCGACUACUAAAGAGCAACUCUCCACAGAGCAAGCCAGCGCAGACUUCCCCCUGCUCCCUCUCCCGAUUGGCAGAAGUCUGGACACUCAGAUAUCCGGCAAUCAAAACAUAGCUGGGACAUCUGAAAGGUU